CUUGCCUUUGGCAGGAUCUCAUCUAAGUCAAUCUACUGCAAUUGUACUUCCCAGAGCACCAGAGUCUGCCUUUAAGGCUGAUAUCGCCUCAUCUACUAAUCGGUAGCAGAAGAGAACAAGAUAACUACUUGGUACUAGCAACGCUGACUUCCAUGCCAACGUGCCCAUUAACCUUACACCUCUGCUUAUGUCUGGGUGUUUCCCGGAUGGCAAAGGUGAGUCACUGUCAGAGUCACAC
rnacentral:lncRNA from 1 species